rnacentral:rRNA from 1 species
CCUACGGGAGGCAGCAGUGAGGAAUAUUGGUCAAUGGGCUCACGCCUGAACCAGCCAAGUCGCGUGAGGGAAGACGGCCCUCUGGGUUGUAAACCUCUUUUGUCAGGGAGCAAUUGGCGCUACGUGUAGCGUUAUCGAGAGUACCUGAAGAAAAAGCAUCGGCGAACUCCGUGCCAGCAGCCGCGGUAAUAGGGAGGAUGCGAGCGUUAGCCGGAUUUAUUGGGUUUAAAGGGUGCGUAGGCGGAAUGCCAGGUCAGCGGGAAAAUCGCGGGGCUAAACCUCGCUCCGCCGUUGAAACUGGCGUUCUUGAGUGUGCGAGAGGUAUGCGGAAUGCGUGGUGUAGCGGUGAAAUGCAUAGAUAUCACGCAGAACUCCGAUUGCGAAGGCAGCAUACCGGAGCCCAACUGACGCUGAGGCGCGAAAGCGUGGGUAUCGAACAGGAUUAGAUACCCCAGUAGUC